rnacentral:rRNA from 1 species
GAUGAACGCUGGCGGCGUGCCUAAUACAUGCAAGUCGAGCGAACAGAUAAGGAGCUUGCUCCUUUGAAGUUAGCGGCGGACGGGUGAGUAACACGUGGGUAACCUACCUAUAAGACUGGGAUAACUUCGGGAAACCGGAGCUAAUACCGGAUAACAUUAGAACCGCAUGGUUCUAAAGGGAAAGAUGGGUUUUCUAACACUUAUAGAUGGACCCGCGCCGUAUUAGCUAGUUGGUAAGGUAACGGCUUACCAAGGCGACGAUACGUAGCCGACCUGAGAGGGUGAUCGGCCACACUGGAACUGAGACACGGUCCAGACUCCUACGGGAGGCAGCAGUAGGGAAUCUUCCGCAAUGGGCGAAAGCCUGACGGAGCAACGCCGCGUGAGUGAUGAAGGGUUUCGGCUCGUAAAACUCUGUUAUUAGGGAAGAACAAAUGUGUAAGUAACUGUGCACAUCUUGACGGUACCUAAUCAGAAAGCCACGGCUAACUACGUG